rnacentral:rRNA from 1 species
AUUGAACGCUGGCGGCAUGCUUUACACAUGCAAGUCGAACGGUAACAGGCCGCAAGGUGCUGACGAGUGGCGAACGGGUGAGUAAUGCAUCGGAACGCGCCCAGUCGUGGGGGAUAACGCAGCGAAAGCUGCGCUAAUACCGCAUACGAUCUAUGGAUGAAAGCGGGGGACCGUAAGGCCUCGCGCGAUUGGAGCGGCCGAUGUCAGAUUAGGUAGUUGGUGGGGUAAAGGCUCACCAAGCCAACGAUCUGUAGCUGGUCUGAGAGGACGACCAGCCACACUGGGACUGAGACACGGCCCAGACUCCUACGGGAGGCAGCAGUGGGGAAUUUUGGACAAUGGGCGCAAGCCUGAUCCAGCAAUGCCGCGUGCAGGAAGAAGGCCUUCGGGUUGUAAACUGCUUUUGUACGGAACGAAACGGUCCUGGUUAAUACCCGGGGCUAAUGACGGUACCGUAAGAAUAAGCACCGGCUAACUACGUGCCAGCCGCCGCGGUAAAAC